rnacentral:rRNA from 1 species
UACGUAGGGUGCGAGCGUUACUCGGAAUUACUGGGCGUAAAGCGUGCGCAGGCGGUUCGCCAAGUCUGAUGUGAAAGCCCCGGGCUCAACCUGGGAACUGCAUUGGAAACUAGCGGGCUCGAGUGUGGCAGAGGGGGGUGGAAUUCCACGUGUAGCAGUGAAAUGCGUAGAGAUGUGGAGGAACACCGAUGGCGAAGGCAGCCCCCUGGGCUAACACUGACGCUCAGGCACGAAAGCGUGGGGAGCAAACAGG